AGGUGGUGCAUGGUUGUCGUCAGCUCGUGUCGUGAGAUGUUGGGUUAAGUCCCGCAACGAGCGCAACCCUCGCCUCUAGUUGCCAGCAUUCGGUUGGGCACUCUAGAGGGACUGCCGGCGACAAGUCGGAGGAAGGUGGGGAUGACGUCAAAUCAUCAUGCCCCUUAUGACCUGGGCUACACACGUGCUACAAUGGGCGGUACAAAGGGCUGCGAACCCGCGAGAGGGAGCGAAUCCCAAAAAGCCGCUCUCAGUUCGGAUUGCAGGCUGCAACUCGCCUGCAUGAAGCCGGAAUCGCUAGUAAUCGCGGAUCAGCAUGCCGCGGUGAAUACGUUCCCGGGCCUU
rnacentral:rRNA from 1 species